rnacentral:lncRNA from 1 species
GGGUCGCCAUCUUGGAUGGGAGUGGGAGUGACAGGGAAAGGUUUUAAACCAUAAAAGGGCCGUGCUCUGCAGUGAGUGACACCUGUGUGUCACUGUCAGUGUCACCUGUGUGUCACCUGUGUGUCAUUGUCACCUGUGUGUCAUUGUCAUUGUCAGUGUCACCUGUGUGUCACCUGUGUGUCACUGUCACCUGUGUGUCACCUGUGUGUCAUUGUCACCUGUGUGUCAUUGUCAUUGUCAGUGUCACCUGUGUGUCACCUGUGUCACCUGUGUGUCACCUGUGUGUCAUUGUCACUGUCACCUGUGUGUCACCUGUGUGUCAUUGUCUCCUGUGUGUCACUGACACCUGUGUGUCACCUGUGUCACCAGUGUGUCAUUGUCAGCUGUGUGUCAUUGUCAGUGUCACCUGUGUGUCACCUGUGUGUCAUUGUCAGUGUCACCUGUGUGUCAUUGUCUCCUGUGUGUCACUGUCACCUGUGUGUCACCUGUGUCACCUGUGUGUCACUGUCACCUGUGUCACCUGUGUCACCUGUGUCACCGUCACCUGUGUCACCCGUGUGUCACCUGUGUCACCUGUGUGUCAUUUUCAUUGUUAUGGUCACCUGUGUGUCACCUGUGUGUCAUUGUCACCUGUGUCCCCUGUGUCAUUGUCACUGUGUCACCUGUGUCACCUGUGUGUCACUGUCCCCUGUGUGUCAUUGUCACUGUGUCACCGGUGUCCCUUGUGUGUCCCCUCAGGUGGGCAGUGCAAGUGCCACAGUGAGGCCAGGUGGGACCUGGGGACAUCUGGGGACAUCUGGGGAUAUCUGGGGACAUUUGGGGACAU